rnacentral:tRNA from 1 species
GAGGAUGUAGCUCAGUGGUACAGCACUUGCCUAGCACGCAUGAGGCACUGUGUUUGAUCCUCUGCACUACA